rnacentral:misc_RNA from 1 species
GGAGAUUCUCAUCGACAAACACAACAUCAAGGAUCUUGAUUUGAAAUUUCUUCGAAGGAACAUUGGAGCAGUUUCUCAAGAGCCGUCCCUUUUUGCUGGUACCAUCAAGGAUAACUUGAAAGUAGGAAAUAUGGAUGCUGAUGAUCAACAGAUUCAAGAUGCAGCACUGAUGGCAAAUGCACACUCAUUCAUUGCCCAGCUUCCAAAUCAGUACUUAACAGAGGUGAUUUACUUGCUCCCAAUUUACUCAUCAGACACAUCACUCUUUAAAGAGCUCAACUAUGUUGCAAACUAAUAAUUCAAUCCAAGUUAGCACAUCCAAUUAUCCAUCUGGUUUAAUCGUAAUAGUCCUUAUAUAUGGGAACAAAUUUAGGCAUUUAAAAAUCAAGACAUAUAAAUAAAAAGAUAACAUAGAACACAAUACUGUCAAGUUAUGGAACAUAAAGGUUAAAACUCCUAGAAUUUUCCUUAUUUGUUCAAGUGUUUAGAAAAAGAGUUGAGAGCAUCCAAGGUUGUCUAUGAUUCAUGAUUCAAGUGGAGCGCUAUAAAUAAAAAAUGCUAUUUCUAGUUUUGAAUGAUGUCUCACCCAUGCAGGCUCUAUACCGAUUAGUCUUGUGAUUAAAAUUCCUUUUCGUUUAA